UACGGAGGGUGCGAGCGUUGUCCGGAAUUAUUGGGCGUAAAGGGCGCGUAGGCGGCUUUUCAAGUGACGGGUGAAAUCCCUCGGCUUAACCGGGGAACUGCCUGUCAGACUGGAAGGCUUGAGACCGGGAGAGGUGAGUGGAAUUCCCAGUGUAGCGGUGAAAUGCGUAGAUAUUGGGAGGAACACCAGUGGCGAAGGCGGCUCACUGGACCGGAACUGACGCUGAGGCGCGAAAGCGUGGGGAGCAAACAGG
rnacentral:rRNA from 1 species